rnacentral:sRNA from 1 species
CAUUACUGAGUGAGGGCGAAAAGCCCGACCUCCAACCCUUUGUGAACCCAUCUUGUUGCUUCGGGGGCGACCCUGCCGUUCGCGGCAUUCCCCCCGGAGGUCAUCCAAACACUGCAUUCUUACGUCGGAGUAAAAAGUUAAUUGAAUAAAACUUUCAACAACGGAUCUCUUGGUUCUGGCAUCGAUGAAGAACGCAGCGAAAUGCGAUAAGUAAUGUGAAUUGCAGAAUUCAGUGAAUCAUCGAAUCUUUGAACGCACAUUGCGCCCCCUGGUAUUCUGGGGGGCAUGCCUGUUCGAGCGUCAUUUCACCACUCAAGCCUCGCUUGGUAUUGGGCGUCGCGAGUCUCUCGCGCGCCUCAAAGUCUCCGGCUGUCCGACCCGUCUCCCAGCGUUGUGGCAACUAUUUCGCAGUGGAGUUCGAGUCGGCGUGGCCGUUAAAUCUUUCAAAGGUUGACCUCGGAUCAGGUAGGGAUACCCGCUGAACUUAAGCAUAUCA